GACGAACGCUGGCGGCGUGCUUAACACAUGCAAGUCGAACGGAAAGGCCUCUUUCGGGGGGUACUCGAGUGGCGAACGGGUGAGUAACACGUGAGUAACCUGCCCUUGACUUUGGGAUAACUUCAGGAAACUGGGGCUAAUACCGGAUAGGAGCUCCUGCUGCAUGGUGGGGGUUGGAAAGUUUCGGCGGUUGGGGAUGGACUCGCGGCUUAUCAGCUUGUUGGUGGGGUAGUGGCUUACCAAGGCUUUGACGGGUAGCCGGCCUGGGAGGGUGACCGGCAACAUGGGGACUGGGAUACGGCCCAGACUCCUACGGGAGGAAGCAGUGGGGAAUAUUGCACAAUGGGUGGAAGCCUGAUGCAGCAACGCCGCGUGCGGGAUGACGGCCUUCGGGUUGUAAACCGCUUUCGCCUGUGACGAAGCGUGAGUGACGGUAUGGGUAAAGAAGCACCGGCUAACUACGUG
rnacentral:rRNA from 1 species